GGCCAGUCUUUAGGCGUUGUUUCAGGCUUUUACUCUGAAAAAUGAGGGAGAUACAGCACUUUCAAUGAGUGGACAGUGGAAAUUUCCAGACAUGAGCCCAGCACGUGAUUGGGAGCGGGCAUUUGUUGUUUCUCCUUUUCUAUUGACGAAGCUUUUGUCCGGAUGAAAUAUUAUUGAUUAUUUAUGACAAAAACAACCUGAGGAUUGAUUUUAAACAUCGUUUGACAUGUUUCUAUGAACUUUUAUUGUACUUUUUUUCCUUUCGUCUUUGUACCUUUGGAUUACUGAACUAAACACACCAACAAAACUGAGGUUUUUGGACAUAAAGAGGGACAUUAUCAAACAGAACUAACAUUUAUUGUGUAACAUGGAGCCCUGGGAGUGCCACCAGAUGAAGAUCAUUAAAGGCCACCCGACGCCAGAGCUCCAAAGACACUGCUGCUGCUGAUUUCUUGCCUCUAGCAGAGAGCUACCUGGCCGACUACAGUGACAAACACACACUCUCUAUCAAACUCAAGACUGACAAACUCACGCUCUCUAUCCCACUUUGCCCGCGCUGCCGCAAGGAGGGAUCCCCAGCUCAGCUCAUCAAACAUAAUUAUUUUCAGUUGUGUGAAAUAUGUGACAUUUUUAUUUCACGUGUGAAAUUAUAUUGAUAUCUAAUGUUUGCAGUGAAUAUUAGAGCAAUUCUUGAAUGUGAGCAUCUUAGUGUAUCCUGGAGUUGGUAUAUUAAACUACCUGCCACUGGGUUAGGCAUCCUCACAUAAAAAACGAUUGCCCUUCCUAUUUCUGGGCAAUGAUUGCUCUGUUCAGUCCUUUAUCAUUGAUGACCUUGGAGGACACCAGAAAGAUGAUAGCCUUUUGAUUUUAAGUUGUAUAUGAUGAUUACAAUAACAACCAGUCUGGUUAUACAAGGCAAUUGACUGAUUUAUUGGGACAAGGCUUGAAUUAUUAAUAGACAUCUCAUUAUUAAUUUGUUUUGGGUAUCAGAAGAUACGUCCAACACAAGCCAUGAAUAGCUUACUUUGAUAUAUGGCUGACUAACUUUAGUUUUCGUAUGUAUUGUUGUGAUUGCGUUGACAGACAAUAUCAAAAAAGUGUUUAUGGACAUAUUCAACCUCUCUUUAUCCCAGUCUGCUGUCCCCACAUGCUUCAAGAUGGCUACCAUUGAUCCUGUACCCGAGAAAGCGAAGAUCCACAAACGAUGCAAUCGCCAUCACACUGCACACUGCCCUAUCCCACCUUAACAAGAGGAAUACCUAUGUAAGAAUGCUGUUCAUUGACUAUAGCUUAGCAUUCAACACCAUAGUACCCUCCAAGCUCAUCAUUAAGCUCGAGGCCCUGGGUCUGAACUCCGCCCUGUGCAACUGGAUCCUGGAUUUAAAAUGUAUGUAAAAUCUCAGAAAUAUUCUAUAUUAA
rnacentral:lncRNA from 1 species